CGACUCUGGUUUCUCUUCAUUACGCACAAGCCUUUCGCCUUUUACUAAAGACUUCCGUGGAGAGGAACACUUACGAGUUU
rnacentral:snRNA from 8 species